GUAGCCUCUAGUUGAGAAGCUUCAAUCAGACGACGGAAUCAAAACAGAUAUGCAGAUCUGUUAAUCUUUCAUCAUCCUCAUCUGCGACUCACGGUACAUCUGCGACUCCGGCGAUCAUCCUCGUCACUCAUCGAUCUGAUACCGUACGUCUGAAAUCAUCUCACCAAUCUGAUUUUGAGGAGAUCUGCCGCUCGAAGAAAUCCUUUCGCCGAUCUGAUUCUGGCGACACUGAUCAUCAUUUCCUUUAAGGUUAGGUUUCGUCUAUAAGGUUAUAUCAUUGUUAACGGUUUAGAUUCAUUACACUGUAUCGAAUUGCUAGGGUUAUGGAAGCUAGAGGUUGUGAUUUUGUUUUGUUUGUGUUUGAUUAACUGAUUGAGUUCUAGUUUUAGGUUUUACAGAAAUUUGAGCUCCUGACUCUGUAUGUUUCUUUGAUCAAAUUUUAAUCAUAGGUUCUACGGAAAUUAGGAUUACUCAACAAUUGAAUCUGUUUUUUGUGUUGUGUUUCUGAAAGUGAAAUUAGGAUUAUUCGACAAUUGAAUUUCAGUUUUAGGUUUUAGAGAAAUUAGAGGUCCCGACUCUGUUUUUCUUCGUGUUUAAUUGUGUUUUGGAAAGUGAAAUUAGGACUAUUGAUCUGAUUAUAAUUUUAGGUUUUACAGAAAUUAGAGCUCCUGAUCAUGUGUUUCUUCUUGCAUGUUCGUAUUCAGGUUUUUAGGAAAGUGGAAUUAGGAUAAGUAAGCGAAUAUAAUUCGUUGUUUGAAUUUUAAUCUUAGGUUUUACAGAAGUAAGAGCUCCUGACUCUGUUUUUCUUGUGUAUUCGUAUCAAUUUGUGUUUAAAUUAGGCUUUACAAAAAUUAAAACUGUUGGCUCUGUUUUUAUUUUUGUGUGUUCGUAUUCAAUUGUGAUUAGUAAAGUGAAAGUAGGCCCGUCGUUUGCCUUCCACGCCGGUAGAAAUCCUGUCGCCCCACACACAACGCUAAAUACAGGGUGGUUUAAUGGACUGGCCUCCAUGUCAGAUAUCCACGUUCACACCGUAUUUUCUAACCCAAAAGGACAGAAUUACACUUUCAUUAUUUAUUUUAUUAUUAUCUUGACACGCAAGAAUAAUGAGUUUCAAUAAACCAAAGUGUUUGGUUCUGUACAUGCCAAUUUUACAAGUACUCUCUCUCUCUCUCUCUCUCUCUCUCUCUCUCUAAAAACUCUCGAUUUCGACUCCCACACACACACACAGAUGAUCUAGUUGCCGAAUCACCAACUCACGUCGUUUCUUCGCAAAUCAUCCUCAUCAAUCUUCAGAUCACAUCCUCAUAGAUCCAGGUAUGAUAUCGCUCGCUCGCUUUAUCUAUCUAUCGACCUAUACAUACACGUAUUUAUGUAUAUAUCGUGUUUACUGCGUCAUCUAUGUUAGUUGUUUGUUCAAUCGUUCGUUGAUCUUCUUCAAUGCAGCAGGCAAAUUAGCUACGUAAGGUCCAUGUGUUUCCCCUAACGGUGUUGCUAACAUGCACCUCCUUUAGGAACCAACGAACUACUACGUGUGUGAGUGUGGUGGACCGGUAAUUAGGUGUUUGUUGCUGAAUUGAUAGGUGCUGUUGUGUGAUGAUGUCGGCUAAUCAGGUGGUGAAAUUACGGAGAAAAGAGUUAGCGGCAUGCAUGACAUGCCCUAUCUGCAAUAAAUUGUUGCGAGAUGCUACUACUGUUCCUGAAUGUCUUCAUACGUGUGAGUCUGUUUAUCUGUUUGGUAUUGUUUUAUCCAUUUCGAUCGUAAUUCUCGAUUCGCCACUACGAGUUUGACUUUGUAGUAUCACAAUUGGGCUUCUUCGUGAUUUAUAGAUUAUUAUUCAUGUUGACUGUCAAAAUAAUUGUGUGUUUGUCUUGUUAAGUUGAUUGAUGUGACUAUAGGAAUGAUUCAGUUACUUGUCAAAAUAUGUCAUGAAAUGUAGGGUGCAGGCCAAUUGAAACUUAAGUUUUAUUUAGGGGUUAAACAUGCAUGCAAUUCUGAUUGAAGAUUAUGUAAAUAUGUGUUAUGAAGAUAAUUAUUUGAUUAUAAUCUAGUGUUAAUUAGGUAACAUGUUAAUGGUAAUGCUUAUCUUACUGUAGUUUUAUAUGAUUAAUUUCAUACUGGUUGCAUAAGAAAUAGUAGUCAAAUGAAAGAGGAUUUCUUUCAAACACUUAACAUCAGUUAUCAAAGGUGAGUUUGGAUCUUUGUACUCUCUUUGGGGUUCAAACAUGGUGUUUGGGUAAGAUGAUAAAGCUUUGAAUAAUCGAUUUGAUACUGUGUUAAUGGGCACGUGUUUGAAGAAAUGCAAAGGCCCGAUACACCUUUGUACAACAUUAAGGCUUACUUGCCCGUUGUCGAGUCAUUUGGGUUUUCAGGUGCAUCGAGGGCGGUGACUUCGGGUCAAGCCUUUUCCCGCAAUCGGUGUUUGACCAUUGGGAAAUGAUGUCUUCUGACCCGUUGGAACCGGGGUCGCAAGCUACCGCACUUGUGGCUAGUAUUCGCAAGAGAAAAGGGUUAAAGGAACAGCUCACUCCCCUCUCUGAAUUUGAGGACAAGCUGUAAGUUGGUGGUUAAGAAAAGAGGUUAAUAAAUAAGAAAAUAUUAUUUGUGUGAGUAUUAUAAGUUAGUAUCUUUAAUAGUUAAAAUUUUUCUGUUAAUGUUAUAACUAUAUAGGGUCAUGCUGCCUUAGUAGGAUAUGCAGCUUACAUCCUAUGAAUCUAUGAUGUCUUAUUUUCUGUAAUGUGUGUUUAAUUAAUAUGUCGAGUUUGUGUUAAAGUUUUCAGUUUUAGUGUUGUUUAAGCUAAUCUUUGUGGGUUUCUAUUAUCCGUUUUAAGCAUCUGAGUGGAGGUGAACACGGACCAAACUUGACCGGGUCUAUACGGGACCGGAAACUGGAAGUGAGGGGAAAGGGAUACCUUCUCGGAUCGUUAGUGGCGGGUUUUGGUGGUGGUUAGGGGAGUGACGAAGAUGGCCUCAAGAGCUCCGACGAAACAUCAAGUGUUACAGCCAUAAGAGAAGCAGAUUCACAUCAGAAAAUUACUCCGUCUCCGGGUUUAGGCUUGUUAGUGAUGCUGUUGUUACAUUGACGACGUUUCUGGAUAAGCAAAUUGGAUUUAAAUGAUCGGCGAGGUUUAGUAGUUUCAAUGUUUGAUUGUGAAAUAUUUGUUAAUUUGUGUUUGAUAGUGGAUUUGUUGUGUUUUGAAAGCGCAGCGUCACAAGCGAGCAAGCAUUGAGUUUGUUCAGGAGCCUUCAACGAUUGUAAGUAAUUUUUAAUUAUGCACGAAUUUAGUUGUUUCUGAUGCUUAAUUUCUUGAUUGAUGAAUCAAUUUUUGGUUUAAGUGAUGUGACGGAUGCAAAAUCGCUAAAUUUGCUACCUCAGGUAGGUUACGUCUGCAAUUGAGGAGUUAUUAGUAGCACAGGGAGAACCAUUGGUAACUGAUUUGAGCAUAGAGUUGUUCUAAAGUUAUGCUUAUUAGGUUUUAUAUGCUUUGUGUUUGUACUUUUUACAUAUGGUACAACUAUCUAGCUUACUUUUAGCUCCACGUUUUGACUACGGGUGUAAAUUUUUCCUUUGACUCUCUUUCUUUAGUUAAUAAUAAUAUGUGUUACUGAUUUCAGCCCAUCUGCUUUUGAGCAGGUAAAAAUAGGUAAAAAAAAAUGGAACGGGUCAAAUCACUCAAAUGGCUGGAACAGGUCAAUGGUUGGCCAAAGUGUACCUAAAAGAAUCCAGAAAUUAUUGCAUGUACAUAUGGACCACAGCCUAUCCAUUUGGAACAUAAGAUUAAACUUUUGGGAAAUAGUCCAGUUGGAAAUGCGUCUUAUGAUGUGUUGGUGGAUGUCCCGUUUCCAGUACAAAGGGAACUUGAUACUGAGAAAGGUUACUGGAGAGCCUUUAAUGCAAAGGAAGGAUGAUACUGCAGCAGUUCUCAAAUCAAGGAAAACGGUGAACAUAAAGGAAAACAGGCCCGUUUCUUUCACUUACGAGGUUGCGUUUGUCGAAAGUGACAUCAAGUGGCCAUCGAGAUGGGAUGCUUAUUAAAAGAUGGUGGGAGCGAAAGUGCAUUGGUUCUCGAUUUUGAACUCGUUUAUGGUUAUCACUUUCUUGGCAGGUAUCGUCCUUGUGAUCUUUUUAAGAACGGUUAGACGGGAUUUGACUCACUACGAGGAGUUAGACAAGGAGGCACAAGCGCAGAUGAACGAAGAAUUAUCGGGUUGGAAGCUCGUCGUAGCUGACGUUUUCCGUGCUCCCAGCAACCCGGGACUUCUAAGCGUAAUGGUUGGAAACGUGGUUCAGAUUCUCGGAAUGGCAGUUGUGACGAUCAUGUUUGCCGCCCUCGGGUUCAUGUCUCCCGCUUCGCGUGGGACUCUGGUGACCGGUAUGCUAAUCUUCUACAUGGUUCUCGGAAAUUCAGCCGAUUACGUUGCUGUACGUAUGUGGUGAACGAUCUUCUGUGGGGACCACAGAGGAUGGGUCUCGAUUUCUUGGAAGGUCGCCUGUUUUUCCCCGGUAUCGCGUUUUAACAAAAUACCAAUACAUUGAUAUAUGUACUUCACCUCCUUUUGUUAAACUAGCUUUUAGUCGUAUUAUGCUAUAAAAGACAUAUGAACGUUGUUCCCGGUAGGUACAUGUACACAUUAAGAGACACUUGAUAUGUGAACUGCCAGAAACCGAUAGUGGCAUCAAACAAUGGUGUAGAGACAGAUUUGUCGAAAAGUGUAGUUGAGGGACUGCACAAGCUCUUCAAUUGCCGGAUGUUGCCCUCAAACAAAAGGUAUACGUAAAGCGCUUAUUUAUCGUCGUUAUUACUGAUUACUGAUGCCAUUGAUCUGGCCAGAAUUGUUGAUCGUCAUUAUUACUGUUAUGCUAGAAAAUGCUAUUGCCGUGUGGACUUCCACCAGAAAGAGAAGAGGAUUAAAGGGCGGUUUAUUCUACAUAUGUGGAGGUUUAGGCUGUGUUUAUGAGUGCAUUAUUGACUAAAUGUGACAGGAUAAUUUGUAUCUUUAUGGUAUCCUGAUAUAGAUGUCUUAUGUACUGUUUCACCAUGCACUAAUGUUUUCGUUCAAAACAUGUUUUUUUUAAGUAUAUUUUUUAUUGUUAUGAUAACUUUGGUA